rnacentral:rRNA from 1 species
UACGUAGGGGGCUAGCGUUGUCCGGAAUCAUUGGGCGUAAAGAGCGUGUAGGCGGUCCGGUAAGUCCGUUGUGAAAGUCAGGGGCUCAACCCUUGAAUGCCGGCGGAUACUGUCGGGCUAGAGUCCGGAAGAGGCAAGUGGAAUUCCCGGUGUAGCGGUGAAAUGCGCAGAUAUCGGGAGGAACACCUAUGGCGAAGGCAGCUCGCUGGGACGUUACUGACGCUGAGACGCGAAAGCGUGGGGAGCAAACAGG